rnacentral:rRNA from 1 species
AAUAAAUAAUUUAUUAAAAAAAAAAAUUUUUUUUUAAUUAAUAAAAAUAAUUUUAUAUAUUUGAUUUUUUAGUAUAUUUUAUAGAAAAAAUAAUAUUAAUGAUAGUUGAUUUGUAUUGUAAAAGAUAAUUGAAAUAUUUAUUUUUAUUGUUUAAAAGUAAAAUUUAUUUUUUGUACCUUGUGUAUCAGGGUUUAUUAAAUAAAAAUUAAUAAAAUUAAUUUUCUCGAUUUUAAGAGAGUAAAUAAAUUAUUUUUUUUAUUGUAAAAAAAAUAUUUAAAAUAAUUUAUUAGUAAUGAAAUGUUAUUCGUUCUUAAAUAUAUCUAGUUUAUUUAGAAAUGAAUUUAAUUCAGAUAUUUUUAUUUAUAUAAAUUAAUUAGUUAAUUUAUAUAAUUUUUAAAUAUUAAUAAUUAAAGGGAUUAGCUUUUAAUUAAAAAUUUAUAAAUUAAUAAUAAUUUUUAAAAAAUGUAGGUUUAGAAAUAGCUAUCAUUUAUAAUUUGUUAUAAUUAAUUUAAUUAAAAAUAUUAUUUUAUAUUGUUUUAAAUUUUUUAUAAAUAAAUAAUUUUUAAUUUAAACAAAUUAGAUAUAAUGAUAUAAUUAGUAUAAAUUAAUAUUUAAAUAAUUUUUUUAUAAAAGAUUAUUUAAAGGAAUUCGGCAAAAAUUUUACUCGCCUGUUUAACAAAAACAUGUCUUUUUGAAAUAUAUUUAAAGUCUAACCUGCCCACUGAAAUUUUUAAAUGGCCGCAGUAAUUUGACUGUGCAAAGGUAGCAUAAUCAUUAGUUUUUUAAUUAAAAGCUUGUAUGAAGGGUUGGACGAAGUAAAAUCUGUCUCUAAAUAAUUUAAAUUAGAAUUUAAUUUUUAAGUUAAAAAGCUUAAAUUUUUAUAAUAGACGAGAAGACCCUAUAGAGCUUUAUAUUAAUUUUUAUUAUUAUAUAUUUAGGUUUAUUAAAAUUAUAGUUUAGUUAAUAUUUUAUUGGGGUAAUAAAAAGAUUAAAAAAAUUCUUUUUUUUUAUUAUCAUUAAUUUAUGAAUUUAAUGAUCCAAUUUUAUUGAUUAUAAGAUUAAGUUACCUUAGGGAUAACAGCGUAAUUUUUUUAAAGAGUUCAUAUCGAAAAAAAAGUUUGCGACCUCGAUGUUGGAUUAAAGAUUAAUUUAGGUGUAGAAGUUUAAAUUUUUGGUCUGUUCGACCAUUAAAUCUUUACAUGAUCUGAGUUCAGACCGGCGUAAGCCAGGUCGGUUUCUAUCUUUAUUUAGUAAAAAUAUUUUAGUACGAAAGGACCAAAUAUUUAAUAAAAUUUUAUUUUAUUUUUGAAUAUUAUU